GCCGCGUGUGUGAAGAAGGCCUUCGGGUUGUAAAGCACUUUCAGUUGUGAGGAAAAGUUAGUAGUUAAUACCUGCUAGCCGUGACGUUAACAACAGAAGAAGCACCGGCUAACUCCGUGCCAGCAGCCGCGGUAAUACGGAGGGUGCGAGCGUUAAUCGGAAUUACUGGGCGUAAAGCGCACGCAGGCGGUUUGUUAAGCUAGAUGUGAAAGCCCCGGGCUCAACCUGGGAUAGUCAUUUAGAACUGGCAGACUAGAGUCUUGGAGAGGGGAGUGGAAUUCCAGGUGUAGCGGUGAAAUGCGUAGAUAUCUGGAGGAACAUCAGUGGCGAAGGCGACUCCCUGGCCAAAGACUGACGCUCAUGUGCGAAAGUGUGGGUAGCGAACAGGAUUAGAUACCCUGGUAGUCCACACCGUAAACGCUGUCUACUAGCUGUUUGUGACUUUAAGUCGUGAGUAGCGAAGCUAACGCGCUAAGUAGACCGCCUGGGGAGUACGGCCGCAAGGUUAAAACUCAAAUGAAUUGACGGGGGCCCGCACAAGCGGUGGAGCAUGUGGUUUAAUUCGAUGCAACGCGAAGAACCUUACCUACACUUGACAUGCUGAGAACUUUCUAGAGAUAGAUUGGUGCCUUCGGGAACUCAGACACAGGUGCUGCAUGGCUGUCGUCAGCUCGUGUCGUGAGAUGUUGG
rnacentral:rRNA from 1 species